AGGACGGACGCUGGCGGCGUGCUUAACACAUGCAAGUCGAGCGGAAAGGCCCUUCGGGGUACUCGAGCGGCGAACGGGUGAGUAACACGUGAGUAAUCUGCCCCUAGCUCUGGGAUAGCUCCGGGAAACCGGGAUUAAUACCAGAUACGACCACUUUAGACAUCUGUUGUGGUGGAAAGAAUUUCGGCUAGGGAUGAGCUCGCGGCCUAUCAGCUUGUUGGUGAGGUAACGGCUCACCAAGGCGACGACGGGUA
rnacentral:rRNA from 1 species